rnacentral:misc_RNA from 1 species
UCAUAACCCAAAAAUAUAUAAUGAUGCAUGCACCUGGCUUCUUGCUGGGCUGUAUGUACCCUGGCCUGGUGGUUAUUACCCUAGGCUCCAGUGGUUAAAUAUGGCAUGCACCUGGCUUCGUGCUGGACUGCAUGUACCCUGGCUUGGUGGUUAUUACCCUAGGCUCCAGUGGUUGAAUAUGGCAUGNACCUGGCUUCNUNCUGGACUGCAUGUACCCUGGCUUGGUGGUUAUUACCCUAGGCUCCUCCAGUGGUUAAUAUUUUCUUGACCGGGGUACCUAUCCCAUGAUCGUAUGCCCUGAUGGUGUUCUCGUAACUUUCGGGUUGCCUGAUCUGCCAAGGGCGAUGGGACAGUGCAUGACGCUAUUGUUGUGUGCUAGGUUCAAAGAGAAUUGUAUGCUAUAUGCAUGCAAAUCCGCCCCGUUAUUGUUCCUAUUUCAAACUUUUACACUGUUGAAGCGAUCCGGUUUGGCUUGCCAUUCACGGGUUUGCUGCCUGGCAUGCACCUGGCUUCGUGCUGGACUGCAUGUACGCUGGCUUAGCGGUAAAUAUCCUAGGCUGCAGCGUUAACCAUUAGUUCUAUGCAUUUGGGAAACCAUUGUAUGGGAUUAUUGGCGUA